UUAAAAAUAUAUGAAUCUAUAACUUUUAGAACGUUAGGCCAAACUUGGCAUGUGAUACCUUUUCAGAAAGCCCAAAGAGAGCUCUCUGAUGAAUGAGGAAGCACAAUGGAAUUCUUCUUUUUGUUUUUUUUCUACUCUAAAUUUUGACCGUAAUGUACUUUUUCGGGCCUUUCGUGAUCUUUGCUAUAUUAAGCGGCAAAAAUUAUAUGUUCGGACAUUGUUUUCAAAUAUUUUGUAUGUAUCAAAGCUCUUAUAAACAAGAAAGGGUAUUCCUACAUAGCUGGUGGGACCCACGGCAAAUGGAUCAUAAAGUCUUCAAAAAAGAAUAAAUACGAUUGAAUCGAUGUAGUAACGGAUGCGAUCAUACCAGCACUAAUGCACCAGAUCCCAUCAGAACUCUGCAGUUAAGUGUGCUUGGGCGAGAGUACUAGGAUGGGUGACCUUUCGGAAAGUCCUCGUGUUGCAUCCCUCUUUUUUUCGGUGUUACUCUUUUUUUGUUAAAAAUAUAUGACUCUAUAACUUUUAGACCGUGAGGCCAAACUUGGCAUGUGAUACCUUUUCGGAAAGCCUAAAGAGAGCUCUCGGAUGAAUGAGGAAGCACAAUGAAAACAAUGUAUCAAAGCUCUUAUAAACAAGAUAGGGUAUUCCUAUAUAGCUGGUGGGACCCAAGGCAAAUGGAUCAUAAAGUCUUUAAAAAAGAAUAGAUACGAUUGCAUUGCAUGUAGUAACGGAUGCGAUCAUACCAGCAUUAAUGCACCGGAUCACAUCAGAACUCUGCAGUUAAGCGUGCUUUGGCGAGAGUAGUACUAGGAUGGGUGAUUCUCGGAAAGUCCUCGUCUUGCAUCCCUCUUUUGUUUUCGGUUUUUCUCUAUUUUUUGUAAAAAAUGUAUGACUCUAUAACUUUUAGACGUUGAGGCCAAACUUGGUAUGUGAUACAUUUUCGGAAAGCCCAAAGAGAGCUCUCCAAUGAAUGAGGAAGGAAAAUUGAUUUCUUCUGUUGGUUUUAUUUUCUACUCCAAAUUUUGACCUUAAUGUAGUUUGUCGGGACUUUUCGUGAUCUUUGCUAUAUUACAGGGCA
rnacentral:sRNA from 1 species